rnacentral:rRNA from 1 species
AACGAACGCUGGCGGCGUGGAUAAGACAUGCAAGUCGAACGGGAGGCUCUUAGCUUGCUUUGGGUCUCUAGUGGCGGACGGGUGAGUAACACGUGAGUUACCUGCCCAGAAGAUCGGAAUAGCUCGGGGAAACUCGAAUUAAUACCGGAUGUGAACGCAAGUUUAAAGGUGCCUUCGGGUGCCGCUUCUGGAUGGGCUCGCGUCCUAUCAGCUUGUUGGUGAGGUAAUGGCUUACCAAGGCGACGACGGGUAGCUGGUCUGAGAGGACGACCAGUCACACUGGAACUGAGACACGGUCCAGACACCUACGGGUGGCUG